rnacentral:rRNA from 1 species
CACGUAGGGUGCGAGCGUUGUCCGGAAUUAUUGGGCGUAAAGAGCUCGUAGGCGGUGUGUCGCGUCGGCCGUGAAAACCUGCAGCUUAACUGUGGGCUUGCGGUCGAUACGGGCAUCACUGGAGUUCGGCAGGGGAGACUGGAAUUCCUGGGUGUAGCGGUGAAAUGCGCAGAUAUCAGGAGGGAACACCGGUGGCGAAGGCGGGUCUCCUGGGCCGA